rnacentral:rRNA from 1 species
UACGUAGGAUCCAAGCGUUGUCCGGAUUUACUGGGUGUAAAGGGUGCGCAGGCGGACUGGUAAGUCAGUAGUGAAAUCUCGGCGCUCAACGCCGAAACGUCUUUUGAUACUGUCAGUCUUGAAUAAGCGAGAGAUCCGUGGAAUUCCCGGUGUAGUGGUGGAAUGCGUAGAUAUCGGGAGGAACACCAGUGGCGAAGGCGGUUGCCUGGGGCUUUGCUGACGCUGAUGCGCGAAAGCGUGGGGAGCGAUCCGG